rnacentral:misc_RNA from 1 species
UGGGAUCCUAUCCUUGAAGAGCUGGAGGAGAUGGGUUUCCACAACAAAGAGAUUAACAAGACGUUGCUCAAGAAGAACAAUGGCAGCAUUAAGCGUGUUGUGAUGGAUCUUAUUGCCGGAGAGAAUUAGAAUCUAGUUAUCAGUAUUUCUUGCAAUAUAUUAUGCUUUCAGUAGAUUAUGCUAUCUAUAACUUGCUAGACUGAGUUAUCAGUAUUUCUUGCAAUAUAUUAUGCUUUCAGUAGAUUAUGCUAUCUAUAACUUGCUAGACUG